ensembl:lncRNA
AAAGCACAGUCCGCUCUACCCAAACACUGCCUGCCGACACAGCACUUUCCAGCAAUGGUGAAGAAAGGGAGCAAAAGGAAGAACAGACACCUGAGGGCUUCCUGCAGCUCCACAUCCUAUAAAGACACUAAGAGGAAAAAAUGCAGAAGAAAGCCUGAAAGUGUGAACCCUUGUCUUGUGAAACAGUGGAAGGACCAACGGAC